AUUGAACGCUGGCGGCGUGCUUAACACAUGCAAGUCGAUCGGUAACAGGUGUAGCAAUACAUGCUGACGAGAGGCGGACGGGUGAGUAAUGCUUGGGAAUCUGCCUAUUAGUGGGGGACAACCCGGGGAAACUCGGGCUAAUACCGCAUACGCUCUACGGAGGGAAAGCCGGGGACCGCAAGGCCUGGCGCUAAUAGAUGAGCCCAAGUCGGAUUAGCUAGUUGGUAGGGUAACGGCCUACCAAGGCGACAAUCCGUAGCUGGUCUGAGAGGACGACCAGCCACACCGGAACUGAGACACGGUCCGGACUCCUACGGGAGGCAGCGAGUGGGGAAUAUUGGACAAGUGGGGGCAACCCUGAUCCAGCGACGCCGCGUGGGUGAAGAAGGCCUGCGGGUU
rnacentral:rRNA from 1 species